GUACAAAAAAUGAACGAAAAACAAAUAUGUAACACAUAAACAAACGACAACCACUGAAUUACGGGUUCCUUACUUAAAUGUUCAUAACAUACUAAAUGUAUGUUCAUAUUGAAAUUGAUAGAAAACCAAAAAUUGGGAAUUUUGGAAAUGAAGGAGGAGGGAUAAAAAAAAACAUUUUUCUGUCCCAAAUAACCUAUGACUUAUGAUACAUUUGCUCAAAUUCUCCAGUCAUUCAAUAUUUUACAAAAUUCUUCCAACAAC
rnacentral:lncRNA from 1 species